rnacentral:misc_RNA from 1 species
UCGUAGGCACCCCUGCGGAUGGAUCAUUUU